rnacentral:tRNA from 1 species
CUUUUAAAGGAUCCUAGUCUAAUCCGU